UGGCUCAGUUGGUAGAGCAUGGUGUUUGCAACACCAGGGUUGUGGGUAUUUGAUUCCCAU
rfam:Salmo salar isolate Sally breed double haploid chromosome ssa06, whole genome shotgun sequence.